CCUUGAGCAGGUGACACCCUAAUAACCUCCAGCCCCCCACUUUUGUUCAAAUUACCAAAUGCUCAUAUUGUGUAUAUCACAAAACCUGAAGACGCUCCCCCCGAAAAGAAAACCAAUGCUAAGCCACGAAUAAAUUGCCCACUAAUUUAUUCGUGGUUUCCACCUGCUGUUUAAUGCUUCAGUUAUAAAACUUAAUUCGCCCUCUUCCCGAGCGGAUCCGAAGUACACUGCUUUAUUCAACGGGAUUUACGUUGAAUUGUAGCCGUAAAAGGAGGGAGUGUGGGCGGGGAAAAUUCCCCUUUCACAGCCUGAAACCCAAGUUACUGUUGGACCGAUUGGACGAUAGAACGUCCCCUCGCGACUGAUUGACAGGCCGCGCCGGGCAGGCGGGUACGCGCUCUCCUCCCGGCGCUUCUUCAGAAGGGUGGCGGGGACGCGCCUGGUUAGUCCCGCCUCUCUCCCUCCCUCAACCAGCCAGGCCUCAGUGAGCGAAGGGCGGGAGUCAUGGCGGAGAGUGGUCCUGUGGAUGAGGAUGCGGUGUCUUCUCCAUCGCAGCCAGCCAGCCGCUGUCCUCGGCACUGGGAGCGGCUGAGGCUAGUGGCGGCGCCCUGGGCGCGGACGCUGGGCCUGGUGGCGGCGCUCGGCCUUCUCUACUUUUUGCGGGGCCCGCUGCGGCUACGGGACAACUUGGUGGCAGUGACUGUCUUCUUGACCACACUGACUCCAAAGUUCUAUGUUGCACUUACGGGGACUUCAUCUUUGAUAUCUGGACUGAUAUUUAUAUUUGAAUGGUGGUAUUUCAGAAAAUAUGGUACUUCUUUCAUUGAACAGGUAUCUGUGAGCCAUUUGCGACCACUUAUUGGAGGAGCAGAGACUACUAGUUCUCCACAGACAAGUUUCUCUGCCACUAAUGGAGAAAAUGAGACAAAUAGGCAGAGUCUGUCAGAGUGCAAAGUAUGGAGAAAUCCACUCAAUCUUUUCAGAGGAGCAGAAUAUAGCAGAUAUACAUGGGUGACUGGAAAAGAGCCACUUACAUACUAUGAUAUGAAUUUAUCUGCUCAGGAUCAUCAGACUUUUUUCACAUGUGAAACAGACUCUCUUCGGCCUUCUGAUGCAGUUAUGCAGAAGGCAUGGCGGGAGAGGAAUCCUCAGGCUCGAAUUAAAGCAGCGUAUCAAGCUUUAGAAUUAAAUAAUGAGUGUGCUACAGCAUAUGUUCUUCUGGCUGAGGAAGAAGCAACUACUAUUGUCGAUGCUGAGAAGUAUUUUAAACAGGCUCUGAGAGCAGGAGAAAACAUUUAUAGAAAGUCUCAGCACUGCAGUUCCCAAAGCCCACAGCAAGAAGCACAGCUUAGAAGAGAUACCAAUGUACUGGUUUAUGUGAAAAGACGACUAGCUAUGUGUGCAAGGAAGCUUGGAAGAAUUAAGGAAGCUGUAAAAAUGAUGAGAGAUUUAAUGAAAGAGUUUCCUCUCCUAAGUGUAUUGAAUAUCCAUGAAAACCUUCUGGAGGCACUUCUGGAACUACAAGCUUAUGCUGAUGUCCAGGCAGUUCUAGCAAAGUAUGAUGAUAUCAGCCUUCCAAAAUCAGCUGCAAUAUGUUACACAGCAGCACUGUUAAAGGCCAGAGCUGUUUCAGACAGAUUCUCUCCAGAAACUGCCUCUAGAAGAGGACUUAGCACAGCUGAGAUUAAUGCUGUGGAAGCAAUACACAGAGCUGUAGAAUUUAAUCCUCAUGUUCCAAAGUACUUGUUAGAAAUGAAAAGUUUAAUUUUACCUCCGGAGCACAUUCUGAAGCGUGGAGACAGUGAAGCAGUGGCAUAUGCUUUUUUCCAUCUCCAGCACUGGAAGCGAAUAGAAGGGGCCCUUAAUCUGUUACACUGUACAUGGGAAGGCACAUUUAGAAUGAUUCCAUAUCCAUUAGAAAAGGGCCAUCUAUUUUAUCCAUACCCCAGCUGCACAGAGACAGCAGACAGAGAGUUAUUACCAACAUUUCACGAUGUGUCCGUGUAUCCCCAGAAGGAACUUCCUUUUUUCAUCCACUUUACAGCAGGGCUAUGCUCUUUCACAGCAAUGUUAGCCCUCCUCACACAUCAGUUCCCUGAACUCAUGGUCAUUUUUGCUAAAGCUGCUCAUUAAGUGACAUUGAAGAAUUAAGCUGCUACACAGCUGCUGAACAUCUCAGAUUUAUAAACACUUGAAGCUUUUGCUUAUCUGUGAGAAAAUGUAUAUGGCUUGGAAAUGUAGAAUAUUAUUUAUUACACAUUUAAACUGCCUAAAGCAGUCUCUCAUAAGCUAGAUGUGCAGAAGUGACGGUUCUUUGGAACUCUUUUGUCACCCUUGAGCUUCAUCAUGGAGAAGAUUGAGCGCCUCAUGCCUGCUGGUCUCUGGCAUCAGCUGACCCAGAUUUGAAUGGAACUCGGUGCUUGGCUAGUGCCCUCAGGAACUCUUUACCAUCAGUACCCCUUUGGCACAAAACUAUUUGCAGCUAAGAGUGUGAAGGAAGAAACUCCAUGACUUUGUUCUGCAGCCUGCUUAUUGGUGCUUAAAAAUUGCUAUAUUCCUCCUUAAGCCUUAGAACCUGUAUUGAUCUAAACAAACAGUUUAUUUUUUCUCGGCAGGGGGCAGAGGAAGAGUGGUGUGCUCAGCUGAAUGUUAGCUGUGCAAUUUGGGGCUACUGCUUUUUCUCCCAAGAAAUUCCAGAAAGCAAUAAAUCUAGUAGACUGUG